UACGGAGGGUGCGAGCGUUGUCCGGAAUCACUGGGCGUAAAGGGCGCGUAGGUGGCGCGGGCAGUCAACGGGUGAAAGUUCGGGGCUCAACCCUGAAGUCGGCCUCGAUACUCCCGAGCUCGAGCACUGUAGAGGCAGAUGGAAUUCCGGGUGUACGCGGUGGAAUGGCGUAGAGAUCCGGAAGAACACCGGUGGCGAGGGCGG
rnacentral:rRNA from 1 species